rnacentral:rRNA from 1 species
UUUGGGACUUUAUUAUAUUGGUUUGUCUUUUGAUGAACUGUAUGAUGGGUUUCUUCCUACUAGAGUUCGAUUCUGUUCUUAACUGAAUGGAGUAGCUAUCUUUCGGGGUGGUCAGUUGGUUGUUAUAUCUCCACUAAUGAGCAGAGAGGGGUUAAACCUUCAAAGUGAGUUAUGUGGGUCAAGGUAUAAUGAUUAAUUGGAGUUCUAGUUCAUUUACUUUGAGAAAAUUAGAGUGUUUAAAGCAGCCUCUUGGGGCACUGAAUACAUUAGCAUGGGAUAAUAAAAUAGGAUCUUCACAAUAUAUUUUAUUGGCUUAAAUUGGAUAUGAAGAUAAUGAUUAAUAGGGACAGUUGGGGGUAUUCAUAUUGGGUGGUUAGCGGUGAAAUGCUCGGAUCCAUUCAAGAUGAACUAAAGCGAAAGCAUUUACCAAGGAUGUUUUCAUUAAUCAAGAACGAAAGUUAAGGGAUCGAAGACGAUUAGAUACCGUCGUAGUCUUAACUAUAACU